rnacentral:rRNA from 1 species
UACGUAGGGGGCAAGCGUUGUCCGGAUUUACUGGGCGUAAAGCGCGUGUAGGCGGUCUCUUAAGUCCGGGGUGAAAGGCGGGGGCUCAACCCCCGAGCUGCGCCGGAAACUGGGAGACUUGAGUGUCGGAGAGGGAAGUGGAAUUCCUGGUGUAGCGGUGAAAUGCGUAGAGAUCAGGAGGAACACCCGUGGCGAAGGCGGCUUCCUGGCCGAACACUGACGCUGAGACGCGAAAGCGUGGGGAGCGAACGGG